rnacentral:rRNA from 1 species
UUGACGGGACCCGCACAAGCGGUGGAUGAUGUGGUUUAAUUCGAUGCAACGCGAAAACCUUACCCACCUUUGACAUGGCAGGAAUCCCGAAGAGAUUUGGGAGUGCUCGAAAGAGAACCUGCACACAGGUGCUGCAUGGCUGUCGUCAGCUCGUGUCGUGAGAUGUUGGGUUAAGUCCCGCAACGAGCGCAACCCUUGCCAUUAGUUGCUACGAAAGGGGCACUCUAAUGGGACUGCCGGUGACAAACCGGAGGAAGGUGGGGAUGACGUCAAGUCCUCAUGGCCCUUAUAGGUGGGGCUACACACGUCAUACAAUGGCCGGUACAGAGGGUAGCCAACCCGCGAGGGGGAGCCAAUCCCACAAAGCCGGUCGUAGUCCGGAUCGCAGUCUGCAACUCGACUGCGUGAAGUCGGAAUCGCUAGUAAUCGCGGAUCAGCAUGUCGCGGUGAAUACGUUCCCGGGUCUU